AACGAACGCUGGCGGCAUGCUUAACACAUGCAAGUCGAACGAGACCUUCGGGUUUAGUGGCGCACGGGGGCGUAACGCGUGGGAACCUACCCUUAGGAUCGGCACAACACCCCGAAAUGGGUGCUAAUAACGGAUACUGAUAUCGGACAAAAGCUUUAUCGCCUUUGGCUGGGGCCGAGUUGGAUUGGCUAGUUGGUAGGGUAAAAGCCUACCAAGGCGACGAUCCAUAGCUGGACUGAGAGGAGGAUCAGCCACACUGGGACUGAGACACGGCCCAGACUCCGACGAGAGGCAGCAAUGGGGAAUAUUGGACAGUGAGCGAGAGCCUGAUACGGCAAUGCCGCGUUAGUGAUGAAGGCCUUAUGAUUGUAAAUCUCUUUUACCCGAGAUGAUAGUGACGGUACCGGGAGAAUAAGCUCCGGCUAACUCCGUG
rnacentral:rRNA from 1 species